CAAGGCUGUUAAAAAGUCAUGUACGCAUAAAUCAUGUUUUUAUUUUGAAAAUAUAGUCGUUCCUUGGCGUUGGCUGAGUUCACCCUCACGUGGUGGUUUGGCGUGAAGUGAACUCUAAAGUUUUACUUGGGAGUUACCUUACGCGCCUCUCCGACCAAGGUACGUAUAUAAUCGGAUUAUGUGCCCUUCUAAUAGGCUGGUCCAUAGAACUCGCCCACUAUAGUAAGCUAAUCAAUAUCCCACCAAAUCAAUAAAAUUCCAACAGCAUGACGUGGCAAUUAUUUUACAACACAGCAUGUCAAGGCAAAACAACAGUUCACAUAUGUUUAGCAUAAUUACCAAUCGAGCAACUCAUGCCCACAUUAUCAUAAGCCAUUCUAUUCAAAUCAUAAUUUACAACACAACAAUUAGUCUCCAAUUACUCUAUUUUCAAAACCAUCAUUCAAGUUCAAGACAAU
rnacentral:lncRNA from 1 species